rnacentral:rRNA from 1 species
UCUACAGGCUUAACACAUGCAAGUCGAGGGGCAGCAUUUUAGUUUGCUUGCAAACUAAAGAUGGCGACCGGCGCACGGGUGAGUAACACGUAUCCAACCUGCCGAUAACUCGGGGAUAGCCUUUCGAAAGAAAGAUUAAUAUCCGAUAGUAUAUUAAAACCGCAUGGUUUUACUAUUAAAGAAUUUCGGUUAUCGAUGGGGAUGCGUUCCAUUAGUUUGUUGGCGGGGUAACGGCCCACCAAGACAACGAUGGAUAGGGGUUCUGAGAGGAAGGUCCCCCACAUUGGAACUGAGACACGGUCCAAACUCCUACGGGAGGCAGCAGUGAGGAAUAUUGGUCAAUGGACGAGAGUCUGAACCAGCCAAGUAGCGUGAAGGAUGACUGCCCUAUGGGUUGUAAACUUCUUUUAUAUGGGAAUAAAGUAUUCCACGUGUGGGAUUUUGUAUGUACCAUAUGAAUAAGGAUCGGCUAACUCCGUGCCAGCAGCCGCGGUAAUACGGAGGAUCCGAGCGUUAUCCGGAUUUAUUGGGUUUAAAGGGAGCGUAGGUGGAUUGUUAAGUCAGUUGUGAAAGUUUGCGGCUCAACCGUAAAAUUGCAGUUGAAACUGGCAGUCUUGAGUACAGUAGAGGUGGGCGGAAUUCGUGGUGUAGCGGUGAAAUGCUUAGAUAUCACGAAGAACUCCGAUUGCGAAGGCAGCUCACUAGACUGCAACUGACACUGAUGCUCGAAAGUGUGGGUAUCAAACAGGAUUAGAUACCCUGGUAGUCCACACAGUAAACGAUGAAUACUCGCUGUUUGCGAUAUACAGUAAGCGGCCAAGCGAAAGCAUUAAGUAUUCCACCUGGGGAGUACGCCGGCAACGGUGAAACUCAAAGGAAUUGACGGGGGCCCGCACAAGCGGAGGAACAUGUGGUUUAAUUCGAUGAUACGCGAGGAACCUUACCCGGGCUUAAAUUGCAUUUGGAUAAUCUGGAAACAGGUUAGCCGCAAGGCAAAUGUGAAGGUGCUGCAUGGUUGUCGUCAGCUCGUGCCGUGAGGUGUCGGCUUAAGUGCCAUAACGAGCGCAACCCUUAUCUUUAGUUACUAACAGGUCAUGCUGAGGACUCUAGAGAGACUGCCGUCGUAAGAUGUGAGGAAGGUGGGGAUGACGUCAAAUCAGCACGGCCCUUACGUCCGGGGCUACACACGUGUUACAAUGGGGGGUACAGAAGGCAGCUACCUGGCGACAGGAUGCUAAUCCCAAAAACCUCUCUCAGUUCGGAUCGAAGUCUGCAACCCGACUUCGUGAAGCUGGAUUCGCUAGUAAUCGCGCAUCAGCCAUGGCGCGGUGAAUACGUUCCCGGGCCUUGUACACACCGCCCGUCAAGCCAUGAAAGCCGGGGGUACCUGAAGUACGUAACCGCAAGGAGCGUCCUAGGGUAAAACUGGUAAUUGGGGC